rnacentral:rRNA from 1 species
CGGUAAUUCCAGCUCCAAUAGCGUAUACUAAAGUUGUUGCAGUUAAAAAGCUCGUAGUUGGAUUUCUGCGGGGACGGAGCGGCCGGUCGCAACUUGCGACUCGAGCUAGCGCUUUCCCCGCAUCCUGCCGCGAACCGUGCUACCAUUAGCUUGGUGGCGCUGGGGAUCGGCUCGAUUACUUUGAGAAAAAUAGAGUGUUCAAAGCAGGCCACACGCCUUGAAUAAGUUAGCAUGGAAUAAUGACUAAGGACUUCGGUUCUAUUUUGUUGGUGUUCGGGACUGAAGUAAUGAUUGAUAGGGACAGUUGGGGCGGUCUGUAUUCCAAAGCGAGAGGUGAAAUUCUUAGACCUUCGGAAGACAAACAGCUGCGAAAGCGUUCCGCAAGGAUGUUCCCUUUGAUCAAGAACGAAAGUUGGGGGAUCGAAGACGAUCAGAUACCGUCGUAGUCUCAACUAUAAACUAUACCAGCUAGGGAUCGGUCAACGUUUAAUCAUUCGACUUGAUCGGCACCUUAUGAGAAAUCAAAGCAUCUGGGUUCCGGGGGGAGUAUGGUCGCAAGGCUGAAACUUAAAGGAAUUGACGGAAGGGCACCACCAGCCGUGGAGCCUGUGGCUUAAUUUGACUCAACACGGGAAAACUUACCAGGUCCAGACAUAGUAAGGAUUGACAGAUUGAUAGCUCUUUCUUGAUUCUGUGGGUGGUGGUGCAUGGCCGUUCUUAGUUGGUGGAGUGAUUUGUCUGGUUAAUUCCGUUAACGAACGAGACCCCAGCCUGCUAAAUAGCGCGGCUGAGCUUUGCUCGGUGCGAGCUUCUUAGAGGGACUAUGAUGCGCGAUAGCACAUGGAAGUUUGGGGCAAUAACAGGUCUGUGAUGCCCUUAGAUGUUCUGGGCCGCACACGGGCUACACUGGCGCCUGCAACGAGCAUAUCAGCUGGCCCGAGAGGGUCUUGGCUAAUCUUUUGAACCGGCGCCGUGCUUGGGAUUGACCAUUGCAAUUGUUGGUCAUGCAACGAGGAAUGCCUUGUAAACGCGAGUCAUCAGCUCGCAUUGAAUACGUCCCUGCCCUUUGUACACACCGCCCGUCGCUCCUACCGAUGAAUGUUCCGAUGAAAUUUUCGGAGAGCGCCAGAGAACGGGGCUCUGCCUUGCAGAUCUGGAGGCUCAAAGUCACUUAAAUCUGAACAUUUCGAGGAAGGAGAAGUCGUAACAAGGUAGCCG